AACUUCCUCUUUUCACUUUAGGAAAUUGAUCCUCUUUUGAAACUACCAUAUUCAUUCAUCCUUCUUGCCUCUCCCCCACGUAGUUUACUUCUUAUCACUUACAAUCAUCAAUUCUCUCAUCAAUUUCACAUAAACCUGCCUAUCUCCAUUAUCCCAUCAUUCUCAUGGCUUCCAAGACUAAAGUAACUGUUGAAAAAGUGAGGAAUCCCUCAAGGGAGGCUUCUAGCUCAUCAAUGACG
rnacentral:lncRNA from 1 species